GAGGUAAUAGCUCAGUGGUAGAGUAGGUGCUCAGUAUGCACGAGGUCCUGGGUUCAGUUCCCAGUACCUCC
rnacentral:tRNA from 1 species